GACGUAGGGCGCGAGCGUUGUCCGGAUUUAUUGGGCGUAAAGGGCUCGUAGGCGGUUUGUCGCGUCGGGAGUGAAAUCCACUGGCUUAACUGGUAGCUUGCUUUCGAUACGGGCAGACUGGAGGUAUGCAGGGGAGAACGGAAUUCCUGGUGUAGCGGUGAAAUGCGCAGAUAUCAGGAGGAACACCGGUGGCGAAGGCGGUUCUCUGGGCAUGUCCUGACGCUGAGGAGCGAAAGUGUGGGGAGCGAACAGG
rnacentral:rRNA from 1 species